AAUCAACGCUGGCGGCGUGCCUAACACAUGCAAGUCGCACGAGAAAGGGGACUUCGGUUCCUGAGUAAAGUGGCGCACGGGUGAGUAACACGUGAAUCAUCUACCUUCGAGUGGGGAAUAACUGAGAGAAAUCUUAGCUAAUACCGCAUAACACUUACGAGUCAAAGCAGCAAUGCGCUUGGAGAGGAGUUCGCGGCCGAUUAGUUAGUUGGCGGGGUAAUGGCCCACCAAGACGAUGAUCGGUAUCCGGCCUGAGAGGGCGCACGGACACACUGGAACUGAAACACGGUCCAGACUCCUACGGGAGGCAGCAGUGGGGAAUUUUGCGCAAUGGGGGAAACCCUGACGCAGCAACGCCGCGUGGAGGAUGAAGUAUCUCGGUACGUAAACUCCUUUCGAUAGGGAAGAUAAUGACGGUACCUAUAGAAGAAGCCCCGGCUAACUUCGUGCCAGCAGCCGCGGUAAUACGAGGGGGGCAAGCGUUGUUCGGAUUUAUUGGGCGUAAAGGGUGCGUAGGCGGUUUGGCAAGUCUUAUGUGAAAUCUAUGGGCUCAACCCAUAGUCUGCAUGAGAAACUACCGGGCUUGAGUGAUGGAGAGGUGAGUGGAAUUUCCGGUGUAGCGGUGAAAUGCGUAGAUAUCGGAAGGAACACCUGUGGCGAAAGCGGCUCACUGGACAUUAACUGACGCUGAUGCACGAAAGCUAGGGGAGCAAACAGGAUUAGAUACCCUGGUAGUCCUAGCCCUAAACGAUGAUUGCUUGGGUGGCAGUUACCCAAUCCUGCCGUGCCGAAGCUAACGCGGUAAGCAAUCCGCNUGGGGAGUACGGUCGCAAGACUG
rnacentral:rRNA from 1 species